AAGAGUAAAAAAAGAAAAAGAGAAAGAAAAAAAAAAAGAAAACAACUCUAGUGGCCAGACACUAAGCAGCUGCAGUGUGGCCUUCCUAGUUAGCUGUCAAUUAGAUGCCAUUUGCUUGUGCUAAACUCUCCCCUCAAGACUGAAUGAUGGUUUAAUAGGGUGCUGGGUAGGAUUUGACCUUAUUGCCCUGGAAAAGAGGACAUGCAUCUAACUCUGUACCUCUCUGAGCUAAGAAAUUACUGUUGGGACAGAGGGCCUUGACCCUUCUGUCUUCCCACUGUUUGGUAGGGCAAGAAUAUAUGGUUUCUUAGGGCCUAAGUGGAGACUCACAAGUUAGAAGGACUGGAACCCCAGUGAGGAAGGCCACCCGCCAGGCAAGGGGACCUGUGAGGAAGAGGUUGUAGGGUGACCACAGGGACUGGAGCAGGACUCAGAAGAGGUCAAGGAAAGUGUUCUCCGCUGAUGAAGAGCUGUGACGUAGGGAGGUCUUCCCGUUCCUGGGGGAAUCCUGAAGGAUGCAUGCACAUCCCCAGGGGGAACCCACUGGCCACAGAGAGCCUCACAGCCAGACAGACCCAGGCUGAAAAGCCCCAGCAGAGAAGAGGAUAGCAGCAGUGCCUGCCAUGUAAGGGGCCAGGGUCUCAUUCCUUCCUCCUCAGCCCAGGACACCCAGCCCUGGGGAGGGGAAGAAAUGUGUGUCAGGUUGACUCUAAGCAGCACUGAUUUUCUUUUAUAUCCCAAAGGAGCAGGGAGCCCUCCUCCAGGAAGGUGACCAGCAUCAGGAGGGGGCACAGUUGAAGGAGGUGAUCAGAAAAAAACACAAGUGGUGUUUUCUGUGCGUGCCCUGCCUUGUGGCGGUCUUUCCAUAGCCGCUCGCAGUUACUGAGCAUCCUAAGCCCAGCUGCUGAGGCCCCCCCCCUUCACUCAAAGCCAGUCAUUUCCCCACAUUCGCCUCCCCCAUUCAAGUGCCCCAGCCAAGUCCUUCUGCACAAGAGCUGUUAGAGGUCUCUAUGGUUCCACUGCUGCAAACGUGGGAAGUAGUUCACCGCGAGGCUGAGAGAGGAAGGUUUGCAGAAGACUUUUUUCAACUUUUUCAAAUUUAACUACUGAAUCACAUUCCUGUCAUUCCACUGAAUGUGCCUACUACUCCCUGAGGCUGGCGUGAGUUUAGAAGGCUUCUGGCUGGGAGCACCACACUUCGUUUCUGCCCAGAUGGACAUGUCAACAGGGCCAUGGGGUCAAGGACAACAGGUGGGAAGCAGAUCUCUCUGGCCUUGCACUAUAUGCAAUAGCCAAGACAUGGAAA